rnacentral:rRNA from 1 species
GCGCAGCAGUCGAGAAUUUUUCUCAAUGGGGGCAACCCUGAAGGAGCGACGCCGCGUGGAGGAUGAAGGCUUUCGGGUUGUAAACUCCUGUCAUUUGAGAACAAGUGGCCGAACCUAACUACUUCGGCCUUGAUAGUAUCAGAAGAGGAAGGGACGGCUAACUCUGUGCCAGCAGCCGCGGUAAUACAGAGGUCCCAAGCGUUGUUCGGAUUCAUUGGGCGUAAAGGGUGCGUAGGUGGCGCCGUCAGUGGGGUGUGAAAUUUCGGAGCUUAACUCCGAAACUGCAUUCCAUACUGCGGUGCUUGAGGACUGGAGAGGAGACUGGAAUUUACGGUGUAGCAGUGAAAUGCGUAGAGAUCGUAAGGAAGACCAGUGGCGAAGGCGGGUCUCUGGACAGUUCCUGACACUGAGGCACGAAGGCCAGGGGAGCAAACGGGAUUAGAUACCCGUGUAGU